GGCAAUUCCAGUGCCGAAUUGGGAGUUGCAACAGCUCUUAUAACUCGCAUGCGUGAGGUAGACGGCAAUGGAAUUCGAAGCGAACGACACGAUCUCCGCCAAGGUGAAACAUGGCGAAAGAAAAACCUCGAGAUCUUGAAGGUACGAGAACAAGAAGGGGAUUCAAGGGUUUGGGGAGCUUUGGUGUAAGGGGAGGGAUUCAACACCACGGCAUGCAUAUUGAAAUUGAAUUGAAUUGAAUCACUGUUCGUAGUCUGAAUAAGGAUGGAUUGGAUAUCAGAAUCGAUGAACAGAUUAAGAAAAUUGAAGGCGUAAUUGAAAAGCAAACAGAGUGUUUAAAGUGUUUGUUCUUCUUCUCCUUCCUCACCGUUCCCCGCUUUUCAAUACUUUUCUUCUUCUUCCCUCUAAUUCCCUCCCCCGGAAUUAACAAUAUCUUGC
rnacentral:misc_RNA from 1 species